rnacentral:lncRNA from 1 species
CUACAACUGGAAAGAACAUUUUGUCAAACACAUGGUGUGCAUUCAUAAAACUGAAACAGGACAACAUAAAAUUGUUAGGUAAGUAAAUUCCAACACAACACAUAAACAAAUAAGAAGAUUUUGUAGUAGAAGUAAGGAAGGUUUUGAAAACAAUAAAGUAGAAGAAACAACAAAUUUUACAGUAUAGAGAGAGAUGAUUAUAGAAAAAAUCACUAACCUAUGUUACAUUCUUCUUCCUUCCAGGCAUUCUUCUUCUGCUGUGAAUCUUCUUAUUUCUCCCUUCUUCAGCGGUUUUUGUUUUCUGGAAAGGUGAGAGAGCGUAGAAGCAAAUGAGAGAAUUGAGAAGAAAGAGAGAUCUCAGUAUUUGAUGGAAAGAGAAAAGAUAGGAUUGAAAAAUCUAAAAUUUGAAAUUCAAAUUAAAGUGAAUGAGAUGUAUAUUGGGCAGUGUGAAUUUUUUUUUUUGAAAUCUCAAUAGCUUUGUCCCAUCGAUUUCUUCUUUGUGCAGUGUGUAAAUAGAUUAUGAAAUGCCCAAUACACCCUUGUUUUUUGAAUUUAUCAUCCAACUUUUUAGUGGUUGAGAACUUGGAUUUUGUGGUGUCAUAAGGCAAAA